GGUCAGAAGUGGGAUUCGAACCCACGCUACAUUCUGUGACCAGAACUCAACAUCCGCGACAGGCAAGUGGAACCCUUGAGUCUGGCGUUUAGACCGUCUCGGCCAUCCUGAC